rnacentral:lncRNA from 1 species
GUGUGUGUAUAUAUAUAAGUGUGUGUUUAUAUAUACACAUCACAUUGUACACUAUGGACAUAUGCCAUUUUUAUUUGUCAAUUAUACCUCGAUAAAGCUGGGGAAAAAAACAAAUCUAUAAAUUAGAGAAAGCACUAAGCAAGCAGGACAAUCAAGAGAGAACUGUGCUUUCUGAGAGAUAUGUAAUUUUGUCCAUAUAAGUGAGUUUAAAUUUCUAUUAGUCACAUUAAAACAUUUUUUAAAAUGUCCCAAAGCAUGAAUCUAGAGCUAAGCGUCAAUGGGCCAGCCAUGAAGCCAGAGCCAAUUCUGCACCAGUGGCAUUUGGAAUUUAAAAAGGAAAGAAUAGAUUUGAGAAGAAUUUCAGUGUUUAAUACUAAGAGAUUUUCAGAUUUUGCACUGGAAAGGGUCUUAGAGGUUGUCAUAGGUAGAAAGAUACAGGGCUUUUAUUAAAAUGUGUAAAGAAUUAAAAACAAAAAAGACACUUGUCAUGACUACUUCCAUACGUGUUCUGUGUCUUAUAUCACUCUUGGACCUUCUCUCCUUAUUGUCUCUUCCACCAGAAAGUUCGUGUCAGAACAUUCCAGAGGUGUUGAAUAUGGACACAGCCACUUUAAUGUACUCUGUUUUAUUACAUCAAAUAGCCUUUAUUUUCCUUCGUUGUCAUUUUAAUUCCAGAGAUGUAGAGCAAUUUGGAUGUCUAAUCUAGGAAAAGGAUGGAACAGAACUGACCCACUAAGAUCUGUACUGGCUCAAGGGUAGUUGAGAAACAGGUGACAUCCCAUGUGUCACCAUAUCAAGGAUUGAAAUGAAGCUUUAUCUUGUGAGCCUGAAGCACAUGCAGACAUGGGCUAGUUAAUGUGCAAGUCCUUUGCUGUUUAGACUGUGCAGAUGAAAGACUAGGGGUAUGUAAAAGUUAAGGAUUGGGCCAAGGGUUAGUGUUGACUCAGUUUAUUUGGCUAUUUAACUUUGUCAGAAAGAUUACAAAAUAACUUUUUCCUGUCAUCAAUCCACAGUAAAAUGAUAGCACAGAAUGAUUACUUUUAAAAAUGUUUCAUUUUCUCCCUCAAGAUGAGCCUUGACUCUUGCAAUGCUAUUACGUAAUACAUAU